rnacentral:rRNA from 1 species
GACGAACGCUGGCGGCGUGCUUAACACAUGCAAGUCGAACGGAAAGGCCCUGCUUUUGUGGGGUGCUCGAGUGGCGAACGGGUGAGUAACACGUGAGUAACCUGCCCUUGACUUUGGGAUAACUUCAGGAAACUGGGGCUAAUACCGGAUAGGAGCUCCUGCUGCAUGGUGGGGGUUGGAAAGUUUCGGCGGUUGGGGAUGGACUCGCGGCUUAUCAGCUUGUUGGUGGGGUAGUGGCUUACCAAGGCUUUGACGGGUAGCCGGCCUGAGAGGGUGACCGGCGACAUUGGGACUGAGAUACGGCCCAGAGUCCUACGGGAGGCAGCAGUGGGGAAUAUUGCACAAUGGGCGGAAGCCUGAUGCAGCAACGCCGCGUGCGGGAUGACGGCAUUCGGGUUGUAAACCGCUUUCGCCUGUGACGAAGCGUGAGUGACGGUAAUGGGUAAAGAAGCACCGGCUAACUACGUG